rnacentral:rRNA from 1 species
UGGGGAAUAUUGGACAAUGGGCGCAAGCCUGAUCCAGCCAUGCCGCGUGAGUGAUGAAGGCCCUAGGGUUGUAAAGCUCUUUCACCGGUGAAGAUAAUGACGGUAACCGGAGAAGAAGCCCCGGCUAACUUCGUGCCAGCAGCCGCGGUAAUACGAAGGGGGCUAGCGUUGUUCGGAUUUACUGGGCGUAAAGCGCACGUAGGCGGACUUUUAAGUCAGGGGUGAAAUCCCGGGGCUCAACCCCGGAACUGCCUUUGAUACUGGAAGUCUUGAGUAUGGUAGAGGUGAGUGGAAUUCCGAGUGUAGAGGUGAAAUUCGUAGAUAUUCGGAGGAACACCAGUGGCGAAAGCGGCUCACUGGACCAUUACUGACGCUGAGGUGCGAAAGCGUGGGGAGCAAACAGG